AAUUAGUCAAAAAUUUUGGGGACAAAUUUUUUUUUUGGCAUCGGGCAUUUUCUCUUAGCCGACGCCAAAAUCUUUUGGCAUCGAGUUUCAAUCUUUUUGGUCGAAUUCGAUUCAUCAUCAUCUCCUUCCACCAUUUGCGAUCCUUCCUUCAUCGGUAUAGUUUUUCUCUUUCUCAAUUUCAUCUGUUUCCUCCUCUUUCGUGUUGUGUUGAACUCGAUCAAGGAGACUUGGCAAUCACCGCGGCGAGAAGGCAAUGGAGGCCGAGGACCAAUCAGAGUUUGUCGAAUUUGUUGUGUUUUAAUUGGGGAAAUUCUCUAUUCGAUAAGGAUGACCCCGAAGCUCUGCUCGAAGGAGUCGCCAUGGCUGGCCUCGUUGGCAUUCUACGUCAACUCGGUGAUCUCGCUGAGUUUUUCCAUGACUUGCACUAAGAAGUAAUGGCGACUGCUUCUAGAAGCCACGCUCUUAUUGCUCGUAUACAACAGCUGGAAGCAGAGUUCCCUUUCGUAGAGAUGGCAUUACUGUGUCAAACCGAUCAUUAACCAUUUUUCUCUUAUAAAGGUCGGUCCUUGAUCCUUACUUUUGUGGUAUUAGGUUUUUUUUUCUUGCAAAUCAACAAAUCGGAGAUGCUUACAAAGCAAUACAAUCGAACAUAGCUUGGUUUUCUUAUACUGAUUAGCAAGAUUUUAAGCCAGUUUGUCUUGGAAUUACCAAUUUUCGAGUUCGCAAAAAUUCAAGCCAUGAUCAUGACAAGAGCUCUAGAAUCAGUUUGAUGUGAUGACAGGAUCGAGUAGAUAAACUCAGAAACUUGAGUCCCUUUUAAACACAGAAGCUGCAGAAGUGUUAUCACAGCCAAGGAUUACGUGUGAUAUAACAAUACGCAAAAAUUCAGUAACUUGAUGAAUGUCUCUCCUUUUAAGAUCACAAAACACUCCUUCUCUCAUAUGAAAUAGUUCUCAGCUUCUAGUAGUUUUCAAAGCAGACAUGUCUGCAGUUUCUGCUCUUUAUAUAUAAGAAAUUGUAAUCUUGUUUUAUAAUCUUGUUUUUAAUUUUAUGUAGUGAAUUGUAAUCUUGUUUUAUAAUAAACAUGUGUUUAAAUUUA